UUACAUUUAAUUUACAUUUGGCGGGGUGGAACACACAGUUUUUACAUGUUAAGUAGUCACGUGCCAAACUACUACAUGUUGGUAUCGCUGUAAAGUUGAGGUCCUCCACAUUCAUAACAAAUAAUAAUUUAAUCAAAUAAUUGCAUUAGUGAGGUCACAGCCCUCGUCAAAGUUCAC